AACUAGGGUGAUGAAAAAGUAUCCUUAGGCGUGGUUCUGGCCGUCUUGGUCACCUGUAUGCCACUUGCCAAUGCAAGGACUUGUCAUAGUUACACUGACUGUUA
ensembl:snoRNA Snord46 small nucleolar RNA, C/D box 46